UACGGAGGGAGCUAGCGUUGUUCGGAAUUACUGGGCGUAAAGGGCUCGUAGGUGGCCAACUAAGUCAGACGUGAAAUCCCUCGGCUUAACCGGGGAACUGCGUCUGAUACUGGAUGGCUUGAGUUCGGGAGAGGGAUGCGGAAUUCCAGGUGUAGCGGUGAAAUGCGUAGAUAUCUGGAGGAACACCGGUGGCGAAGGCGGCAUCCUGGACCGACACUGACACUGAGGAGCGAAAGCCAGGGGAGCAAACGGG
rnacentral:rRNA from 1 species